UACGUAGGUGGCAAGCGUUGUCCGGAUUUACUGGGCGUAAAGGGAGCGUAGGUGGAUAUUUAAGUGGGAUGUGAAAUACUCGGGCUUAACCUGGGUGCUGCAUUCCAAACUGGAUAUCUAGAGUGCAGGAGAGGAAAGUAGAAAUUCCUAGUGUAGCGGUGAAAUGCGUAGAGAUUAGGAAGAAUACCAGUGGCGAAGGCGACUUUCUGGACUGUAACUGACACUGAGGCUCGAAAGCGUGGGGAGCAAACAGG
rnacentral:rRNA from 1 species